AGAGACUCAGCCCCGCACUCUUCCCUGCGCUGCGCCUCUGCCUGCGGGCCAGGAUCCCGCGAGUCUGGGCUGCAGCGAGAGCGAAACUGCGUGGCUUCCCGACUCGGUACCGCGCGGCUGCUCACCUCCGGGGCCUCGCCUCCUGAGGCUGCCAGGUCGCAUCGCGCUCUCCCAAGGUCUUGGUUUUCCCUCUUCUCCCUCUAGACUCCGCCACAACUAGCUGGACCUCUGCAGUCCUGAAAGUGCAGCAGGCACGGACAGAUUCGGAUCGGCUUGGGCUUCACGCCUCUCGCCGGCUCGCCUUCCUUUCCCUGGGCACCGAGGCCAGGAUCUGACACUGGCUGGUUGUCUGCCAAGGAGACCCUCAAUUCUGAGUGGCCCAUGGUCACUGGCCCUGGGAAUUUCUUCAGCAUGGCUGCUGA
rnacentral:lncRNA from 1 species